rnacentral:lncRNA from 1 species
GCUUCUCGUUCAAAAACUUUCUUCAACUAGACCAUGGUUAAAUAAGGCGCUUCAUGCUUCCCAGCCUUGAUGCUUCAUGCUUGAUGCUUCUCAUUCAAAAACUCUCCUCUGUUUCUCUCUCUCUAACCAUCUUCGCCGCCUCGCCGGUGGGCGGCGCUGCCAGAUCUGUUUUUCUCUCUCUAACCUCUGCGCUGAAAGUUACUGUUUUUGUGUGCUCUUUGG